GAAGCUGAGAUUUCCUAUAACCACAAUGAUACGCACAAUGUCCUCGUUUGCCACAAAAAUAGCACACAACAAUACUAGAUCGAUUUUUCUGGCUAAAGAAACUCUCAUUUGCUAGAGAGAUACCAUUAGUGUGAGGGUGAAUAGACAUAGAACCUGAUGAAGAAGGGCUAAAAGAGUAAUUCGGAGUAGUUGAAGGCUCAUUGCUUUGCAUUCGUGGCCCAGAAUUGGUGGAGGGUGAGAGAGAACCAUUACUAUCCAUUGUAUUGAAUGCCUUAACAUAGCUAGCAGCCUGAGACAUGAAGUUUGCAUGAGGAGAUACUCCCAUUUGAGUAACCACUUGCUGAUGGCGAAGGGGUUGCAAUGUAGAAUUAAUAUCAAAAUGAGGCACAAUGGAAGAGUUCACAAAUCCUGUGUUGGCAACCAUUGUUGUAGAUGUAGGAACAUAGCCAUUUUCAGAACCGGAACUAGCUGGAGGUCUAUAUGCAUUUCCAUUCAUAGCAGAAGAAGAAGGUGCAUGACCAGCCUGAGCAGUGGAGCUAGAAUAUGAAGAACCAGAUGCAUCAUACAUGCCUUUUGGGAGACCAACACCACCAAAUUGGAUCGAGUUCCUUGUAAUACAAAAUUUCCACUUCUGAAACUAUCACCAUGUACCACCAUCUCAGUCUUUGACCUCUCAAGAAUGGACUUCACAGUUUGUUCAAUCUCAUAUUCAGCAAUCAAUAAAAGAGGGUGUAAACCCAAUUUUGGGUUUCUUCUUUUUAGGUAUAUUAUCAUAUUAUGCUUUACUUAAUAGGGUUUACUUAAUAGGUACAUUAGAAACAUAAGUAGUAGAGUGUAAAAUGUUCUCUCGAUUAGGAUGAGAAAUGAUUUAAUAAUGUACCUAAAAAGAAGAAAAAUUAAUCAAAGAAUAAGAACGUGUACCUUGCAAUUAGAUAUUUUUCGACUAUGUAGAGAGACACUAAAUGUGAGCUUAGGAAUGAAAAGUAUAAUCAUAUUACAAAUGACAUACUUCUGUAUAUAACAUAUAUAUAUAUACACUCAAGUUUGUAAUAACAAGGUAAGAAAUUAAAGAAUGUAAUUGAUUAUGACAAAGUUAACUCCAACUAAAUUUUAGCUAGUAUUUGAGUUUCAAAUUGAUGCUAAAAUUGAGAAAUAUACUAAAUUUAGCUUUCUACUGUCUGAAGGGCAAAUUAGAGAAACUGAAAAAUGAAGAAAACUAUUAAUUAUAGACAUUUGCUCUAUAUGGUAUGUUUGCUUAUGUGGAGUGGGUGUAAUAAAAGAAAAAUAUGUAUGGGUUUAUCUUAAAAGAGGUCUAGUAUUUUGGGUUUUUAUCUAAUUUUCUCUAGUUUUCAUGGUAGCAUAUUCAGAGGGCAAACCAUGACGAACUAAGUCUGUUAUGUCUUCAUUAGAAAUAAAAACUCCAGCCACAGAAAGUCGAUCCCUUAUAGUUUUAAACCGUUCCAUAUACUUAUCAAUACUAUCAUUACCUUUCUGAAUUUGCUGCAUAGAGAUCUUGAGCUCAUAAGCUUUGUAUUUCGGAAGUUUACCAUAUCUCUCCUCAAGCAAAAGCCAUACUUCUUUUGAUGAUCUACUCCCAAAAAUGAAUGAAAGAGCAUUAGAUGACAUAGUAGCAGCAAGUAAAGUAAUCAAAGCAGAGUCAUUUUUCCUCCAUUCGUUAUACUCUUCUGUAAGCUCAGUAAUACUAGCCUUUGUUAUGGGCCCAUAACCCACAGGUCCCUGGAUCAUAACCAGGCUCUAAUACCAUGAAAGUUGAGCUAUUGUAUAAGAAUGAAGAAAGAAGAAGGCAAGAAGAAAAUCAGAGAAAACUAGAAAGACUUUGUUCAUUUACAGACUUGGAUAUAAUAUUACAAAGAGAAUACUUUUAUACUAUCUUAAAAUAACUACAUCUGGCUUAAUACCUAUUAUACCCUUAACAUAUGAAAAUAGUUAAUGACUGAAAUAAAUUAAUUGAUUGCAUCCUUGAUUUUACACCAAUUGUGCUAUAUAUGCCCAUUCGGAAGAUCUGCUAACCCCCAAGCAUCAUAUUUUUGUCCAUUACGCAUCAGGCCUCAAACUGCUCAGGGCGUAGAAAAUUUAGAUCCAACACUCUUGGCACUCGAGUUGAAUUCAAUAACUCAUAAAAAAAAAGUGAGGAUGUUAGUUAACAAGUAAAGGGGGUUUGAAUAGGUAUUGGUUGUGUUUGAAAGGUUAUGAAUCGCUCUUUAUGAAAUAUGAAUAUUAAGUAAUAAUAGCAUGACACUUCGCUUCGAAUUCGAUAUAGAAAGAGUUUGACCCUAUGUUGCACGGACACGGACACUGACACAGUGACAUGGCACAGCGCGACACGCCGAUACGGCAAAUUUAAAAAAUCUAAGAUACGAUACGGCUUAAACACGGCAAAUAAUUAAUACUUUAUGUAUUUUAAUACAAAAAAAUACUAAAAACAUGAGCUCGAGACCAUAUGUUGUUAUCAGCAAAGAGAUGCUGCAAUUGAAUGGAGAUUAAGAAACCCGGUGACUAAUUUGAAAUGGAAAAAGGAGAUGAAGGAAGAGGGGAAGAGGGGAAGAGUAGAAAAGAGAGAUUAAGUUGUAGUUUACAAACUAGAUCAGAGAGUUUAAACAUUGGUUAAUAGGGAUACCCCUAAAUUAAGACUCGGUAAACUCUCACAACUACUUAAUGACUAAAUCAACUAAGCUUAUUCAGUGGAAUUAAGUAAUGUAAUGUUGUAAACAAUCAACAUUGUGUGAGACAAUUAAGUCACAAUGCGCUCUUGCCCAAACAACUGUCUAGUUCAUCCCUAGAAUAAUAAGCAGCAACCUGUCCUCUUGGAGUUGGAUCCCUAUAAAUUGGUUACUUGCACACUACAAUACUCAUCAUCAACUCUUCAGUAGUUUACUUGCAGCACUAAUUACUCUAUAGCCAGCAAGAGUAAUAUUUAGGUACUUGCAUUCUUGAUCAAUGGCGCCCUCCAAAAGGACAAUAUGUUGUUUGUGUGCCUCUUGGUUGCUGCAGUGGCAGUAGGUGUUCCGGUAGCUCUAGGGCAAACCACUGGAGGCCUCAUCGAGCCUCUUCUUGGUGUCUUUCGCAUCCAAGGCAUUCAUGGUCUAUUGCAGUGCCAAUGGCCGUGCCAGUGUCGGGACCAACGGCACCACUCCUGCACCAGCAUUUCCAAGUAAGUUGAUUACUAAUAGAUCACUAUUUAUUGUUAAUCAUUUUCCUAUAAUUAACAUGCAUGCUGGAUUUGUUUGAAAAUCAUAUGCAAAUAAAUAGAUGGAAAAGUCCAACUACGUUGCGGAGCGGGAAAUGGUGUUGUGACUGGAACUGUGAAAACCAAUUCCAACGGGGGACGUUUUCAUUCGUGUUAGACAUUUCCUUCUUUACAGAACGUCAAAUAUUGAUGGCAAUCAUGGCAUAUCGUGUUGUGGUUACAAGACCACUCGGAAGUUGGAAAGUCACCCUCCCUCAGUCCCUCCAACCGGAAGUCUUACAUCCACCUUGAUAUCACUUGGAAACACCACCUUUGGCUCAUUCCCGACCAUCAAUAUUGGUAUAUCCGGCUUCAAUUUCAUCGUAUAACCCAAUUUUAAACAAUUUACCUGUUACUUUUGGAGAUAAUUGAUUAAGGUUAUGCACUACGUAGUAUACAUACAUUUUCAACUAUUUCUUCCAUGUAUAGUUAAUGUAACUGGAGAUUUUGGAAUACAGAUUUUACAGCAAGUAGUUAAUAGUCACAGUGCAUGUUGUUUCAUCCGAACUCAUGAAUAUAUGGAUCACAGUUCUUUUAGUUUUUUUUUUUCACUUCUUCGAAAGUAAGUGCAUGUGUACGUAAAAAGUAUGCUUGUUUUACUUAGAUAUAUAUUUGCCGACUACAUCUAGAAUCACAAGUUACAAAUUAUGACCGAUGAAAUUAUGACCAUUUUAUGCUGUAGAGUUGGGCAAUAUAGGAAGAUGCUCCCGCCUAAUCUUUUAAUUAUCAGAAACACGUUGAGAUCUAAUUAUUUAAGGUUGACUAGCAAGUAGCAACAAGAUUGAACCACUAAUCUAAAACUGUUGUUCACCAAUCACCAUUCAACUUAUUAACAUUCAAUAUAUAGCUAGAGCCUUCAUUCUUUGAAGCCUAGCUCGAUGAUUCCAUAUUGUACGUAUUCAUAUAUACUCUUACAGUUUAAAACUGCCUUUUACAUGGACUACCCAUUUUGAAAUAUUGGAACAAGAUCAUGAAUGAAUGACACAUUUUUGGGAGGUUUAAAGUGAAAAAUCAAACAUUCCAUUUAUAUCUAGAUAUCUAGGUCUAGCCCAAUGCGCCAAAUAUAUAGUGUCUACUGGUACUGAAAUUCUGAGCAACUAGUCAUUUUUAGGUUUCUGUCAAUUUAAUCAAGAAAAUUUGCGGCAACGUACGUACUUGAUUGACCUCCCUGGAGCUAGCUUGCAGGCCAGGCUUCCCUAUAAAUUGGUUACUUCGCACACAGCAAUCAUCAAGACAUCAGUUAACUUCUAAUAUAUCGAGCAAGAACAAUAUUUCAGCAGAAGUUCGUACUUUGAAUCUUGAUCAAUGGCGCCCUCCAAUAUGCCUGUUGUUUGCUGCAGUUGCAGUGGUUGUUCCAGUAACUCAGGGAACUCUCAUCGGCAGUUUUCUUAAUCUAAUCCAAGUCCAAGGCACCGUCUAUUGCACUGCCAACGGCAAUGCCACUGUCAGUUCAGGUGGCGUCAAUAUUACAAGCCCACCAUUCCGAUGUAAGAUGAUCACUUACCAAUUAAUGCAACAACAUAAGCCAGUACUGACGAUUUAUGCAUGUUGAUUGAUCAUCAGGCUAGAAAUAUCCAAAUCUUGUAAAAUAUAUAUUGACAUUGUUAUGCUGAUCUCUCUUUUACAUGCAUAUGUACUUUGGUUUCGACUGUGAUUACCAACUUGGCCGGACAGUUCACAAUCGUUUUGAACACUCUGCAAUAUACAGUCGCUCAAUUAGUAUCCAGCUGCCGUGUUGUGGUUACCACACCACUUGCGAGGUGCAACUCCACUCUGUCUUCAACCGGAACUCUCACGUCGAACUUAACAUCAAACGGAACCGUCGGCAUCGGCAUCGUCAAUGUCAACCUUGUCACUCCGAUUAGCUUUCCAGUCUCCGCGUGACCCUAAUUCUGUACUUCAAGUGAAUAACAAUAUGGCCUACCUAUAUCUGCGUAUACUUACUGCUAAUUAUAUAAAUAAAGAUCACUUAAGGAGACUGGUAUAACAACCAGCUGAUCAAUAUUACUCGUUAUAAUUCAAUCAAAAUAAAAUAUAAAAAAAAGGAAAAAAGAAUAUUACUCGUUAUAAUUGUUGACAGAAAGAGAUAUAAUAAGCGAGCGAGGGCACAUAUAAAAUGUGCGUAAGGCAAUCAUGGCCGGGUUAUGAACCCUUUAUCUAUGGCUCCCCAAAAGCCAAUCGAUUUAUAAAGGAACCAAAUUUGCUAACCAUCAAAAUUUAGUGAUCAUGAUGACCAACUAAUCAAAUACUGCGAGAGAGAGAAAGAAAGAGAAAAGACAGGGAGAGAAGAGAGAGAGAGAUGAUUAAUUGGUUGGUCAUCAUGACCACCAAAUUUUAAUGGUCGGCAAAUUUAGUUCCAUUUAUAAAGACAAACCUUUUGUCUCAUUUGUUGCUAAAACUUAUAGGUUAUGAUUAACACUUCAUCAAACAAAGAAGCAAAGCCUUUUUGGUGAUCUGGUGAUCUGGUGAUCUGAUACUGAAUCACUUGAGAGUUAGAGGGUCAGAGAAAAAUGCAUGGAUGGGGACGGUUCGGUAUAAAGAUGUGCCCAGCUCUGUGAGACUGUACGUGAUCAUGUCAUGUGGCUCCAGAUCGAAUGAAUUAUAUGCAGUGAGGAUAUUGGUGCGUAGUAUAUAUAUAGGUGACAGGGAUUAAACAAAGAAAGAGUCCAACCAAAUUGCCUUUUGGGUCACACCAGAAAUUCACGACCAAGAAUCCUAUGCCAGGUUUUGGAUCCAAUGAUAUAUAGUUUAUGGCUUUAUGUCUUAAUUUAACUUAUAUGGAAGUCCUUCUAACGAAGACUCUUAAUUUAAAGAUUUUUCGAUUUAUUUCACCUUUUGAUUUUAUAUACACAUCUUGACCGUUUAGUUUAUAGGUAUUUAUGAGUAGAUCAUUUCUCUAAAUUUUCAGUUAUAUUGAAAAUUGUUAAGACAUUCAUAAGUAUGAUUUAUCAAUUAUGAACUUGAACUGUUCAUAUUUAACAGAUUUGGUUCAUCCAUUAAUUUGAUCUAGUUUGGUAUUUUAAUGAACACCAAUUUGGCUGAAAAUUUAUAGAAAUGAUCUACUCAUAUAGACCGAAAAGUCUUCAACUAGUCCUCAACUUAAAAGUCCUCACUAAAAGGGCUCCCUAACUUAUAUGACUUCCAUUGGCAGUAAUAUUUUCUGCCAAGAGCGACAUUUGAUCGAGGAAAUUUCUCUGUUAACUUCAUAUAUUAUUUACCCCAAAAAAUGUAAGCAAAAUGGCUCACCUUGAGUGUGUGUAGGAGGAACAUAUAUGACAAUGUUGUUAUGCGGAAGUGGUCGACGGGUCCUGAGGGUCUCACAUAUACGGGUCUAGAAAUGUCGAUAUAUACUGUCAUCAGUUUAGCCACCCAGACGAGAAACGGGUAUAGAGUUUUAACGCAAAAGGUAUCGACAUUAGUGUGUGUGGUACCAUUCCUUAUAACUCAAUGAUGACUCUCCACCUUUUAGAUGUGGGAUUCUAAAGGGGCUUUAAUCUAAACCACACUUUUCCAACAAUCUCCAACUGAAGUGAAUUGAGCCAUCUUUAAAUCUCAUGAUCCAAGUCUCAAUAGCUCAACCGUGACCACAAGCAAUUAAUUCCAAAUCUUGUGAUCCCAAUAUCCAAACGGGAGCUCCACCAAAUUGUAACUCGAUCGUAUGAGACACCAAGUCCAAAACGUCACUUGGGCUCUGAUACCAAUAGUUUUGCAGAAGCGGCCGACAGGCCCAGAGGUUCCCACACACACGAGUCCAAAAAUGCCAAUAUUGUCCCCAAUUUAGCUACUCGGACAAGAAACGGGUAUAGGGUUUUAACACAAAAGGUCUCGACAUUAGUGUGUGUGGUGUCAUAUCUUAUAACUCAAGGAUGACUCUCCACUUUUCAGACGUGGGAUUCCAAAAUGUUCAAGUCUAAACCACAUUGUUCCAACAUAUGCACUUGGAAAGUUAUAUAUAUAUAUAUAUAGUCAUAGUCAUGAAACUAUUUUCUUUUAGCCACAUCUCUUAACCAAUAUUCCCCUCUAAUGUUUCUCAAGACUUUUAUCUUGUAUGCGUACUCUAAAUUUUCGUUCAUGAAAUCAAAUACAUAUCAUUAAUACAUCAGAGACCUUAAAAACAUAUAGAGGUUUUGAAAGCUCCCGUUUUCUUAGAGCACUCAUCGCAACCCGAGGUUUCAUGCAGUGCAACAUAGGCCUUAAGGUUUUUCGGCUGCGAAUAGCUAGGUCGCUCCGGCGUCGGGCUUGGGGACCAUGCGCGUAGGGUUUGUGCCGAGAGUGGAUAUUCGAUCUUGGCUCUUGCUUCGACUUUGGAGUUCUUGAGGCGGCCUCUUUGGGUGUUUGGGUGAUGAAGAUUGGAUCAGAGUAUCAAGGAGAUUGCUUAUCUUAUCUAGGUGGAGGUUCCGGUUGUUGUUGGGAAAUUCCUAAAAAAAGAGGUCGUCCUAGUGGUUGUCAGAACAAAGCCAAGUUGUAGAUGGAAGGGAAUGAAAAAUUAUUGACGUGCAAGGAGGGUCCUUUGUCACCCUCACUGGUUACUUAGGAGUGAACCUGAGUAUGACCCUAGAGCUGGACCGUCUUGGAGUCUUCAACUUAAUUUUGGUCAUGUUCCAGUCGAUUCGGGUCAUGGCUUCUGUUGGAGAUUGUAAGUAUCUGAAUUAAGAUUGGAUUCAUGUAACUUAUGCUUAAGGAAUAUGACACGACCCACCCCGAAUUUCACCUUGAAACCCAGAGUAAGUCGUGCGGGGACCACCUCCAAGGAAAAUUUACUGAAAAGAUUAAGAAAAUCUCCCUUGCAGAUGGACAACCCUAACUCGAAAAUUUCAAAUUACACUCUUAAUUUAUCACUUCUGAACAUCGCAUAAUAUACAAAAAUUCUAAAGUAUUCAGAGCUACUAAACACAAGCGGAAGCAAGAAAACACGAGUAGGUUGAACAGGUAACCUACUGGCGAAAACUGGCAGAAAAACGGGUGACUAUGCCUCGUCUCCUACUAGAUCCAACCCGAACUCUGCAGACUGGGCAAUUUAAAACGAAGGGCCCAGGGGAAAACAUUUAAUAACGUUAGAGUGAGUGGACAAAAAUAAAAUAAUAAAUAAAAUAUUUAUGUUUCCCCAUAUUAAUUUCUAAGGAAAAAUCGAAUGCAUGCCGCAAGCGAUAAAACUUUUAUCCCAUAAAAUAUCGAGCCUCUCAGACUCUAUAAAAUAUGUAUGUAUUUACACUCGUCCAUACUCCCUAUAUAAAUUCAUGGGUCUAUAUAGGGCUACUACGCUUGCGUCCAACGCUCACGUCACGUCUUAAUGCGGUGCUACACUACGCCAUUAAGGUGGACAGACGGGUGUAUAAAUAUGUGUCCAUACCCCCUAUAUGAAUUAAACAUUCAAAUAGGGCUACUACGCUUACGUCCAACGCUCACGUCACACCAUAAUGCGGCUAUAUGCUACGCCAUUAAGGUGGACAGACACAUAUGGCUAGCUAGCAUUUCCUAUACAUACUCUCUCAUAAUUACAUAUUUAUAUUCACCGAAAAUCCCAUUUUCGGUAACUCUCUAAGAGAAAUAAAAACGUCAAAAUUAAUUGACAUCAAAAACUCCAACAAAANNNNNNNNNNNNNNNNNNNNNNNNNNNNNNNNNNNNNNNNNNNNNNNNNNNNNNNNNNNNNNNNNNNNNNNNNNNNNNNNNNNNNNNNNNNNNNNNNNNNNNNNNNNNNNNNNNNNNNNNNNNNNNNNNNNNNNNNNNNNNNNNNNNNNNNNNNNNNNNNNNNNNNNNNNNNNNNNNNNNNNNNNNNNNNNNNNNNNNNNNNNNNNNNNNNNNNNNNNNNNNNNNNNNNNNNNNNNNNNNNNNNNNNNNNNNNNNNNNNNNNNNNNNNNNNNNNNNNNNNNNNNNNNNNNNNNNNNNNNNNNNNNNNNNNNNNNNNNNNNNNNNNNNNNNNNNNNNNNNNNNNNNNNNNNNNNNNNNNNNNNNNNNNNNNNNNNNNNNNNNNNNNNNNNNNNNNNNNNNNNNNNNNNNNNNNNNNNNNNNNNNNNNNNNNNNNNNNNNNNNNNNNNNNNNNNNNNNNNNNNNNNNNNNNNNNNNNNNNNNNNNNNNNNNNNNNNNNNCCUGAUGUCGAUCUGGGGUCUCGUCUGCUCGAGUCCUACCUCACGUCCUGUUACCAAAUUAAAAUAUUUAAAUUUCCCAACCAAUAAUCCAAUAUUUAAUCAAAAUAGGCAAAAUUACCCGAGAGCCAUAAUUACGCUCAUUAUUGCCUAACUUCGAUAUUCUUACAUCGGAACGAUCCGAACUUAAAUAUCAUACUCCACAGUCGUAAAUAUAACCUCCCCAAAAUACGACUUAAAUCCUACGGCCGGAUUCUACAUUAAUUAACCGCCAAAAAUACCAAACUUCGGAAAUUCACAAACCUAUCCAAAUCUCAUCCAAAAAUUCCAUAAAUCACACCAAUAUACUCCUCUUAAUAUUCCACAUUUAAAACCCUAAAAAUCUCCUAACCGGCGGCGGCCGGCAACCGUUUUCCGGCGACCUGCAAAUGCUACCAAAUUUUAACAGAAUCUUCCUCUCAAUCUCCUCUACAACUUUCAUGACUAACACAUCACCCAAUUCCAAGCCUAACUAGGCUAAGGCUAAUCGAACGAAAACAACUUAAACACCAUAAAACUUCCACCUCAAAUUUCUCCUUACCUAGCUCAAGAGGGAGGGAGCUGUUUGGAGGGGUUGUUGCACGGGAGGAGGGUUACAAAACCGUACCAAGCUUGCCCGGAUUGGUGGCCGGAGGAGGAAGUUCCGGCGAGAAAACCGAUUCGGCAGUCGGAGCUUUCGGGUGGCACCGCUCUCUCACGGCGGAGCUAGGGCUCCUCUCACCGGUCUAGAAAUGUUGCUGGGAGGGAGACCGACUGAACGGGACCGGUCCGGCGGCGAACGGAGGUCGGACGGCGGCGGGAGGACAGCCGGAAAACCGGGCAGCGGGAGGCUCGGGGAGAGGAAAAGAAAAGAGGGAAGAAGAGAAAGGGAGGAGGAAAAGAAAAAUGGGUUGGGCCUCCACCGGUCCAACCUAUAUCAACCCACUUCAAAAAAAUAAAAACACCCCGAAAAAUAAUACCCGAAUAAAAAUUACUUUUUACUAGCUAAAAUUUACCAUUUUUACCGUCGUCGUAUUUUCCUCAUACUAAUAAUCCUCCGCACAUAAUCGUCCCCGAAACCCCUCUAGGGACCAAUUAAACUAUUUACUCAAUGAUCGAGACGGUAAAAUUCUUAUUAUAAUCAGGCUAGUAAAUAAGGUAAAAAUAUAAGGGUCGGGAUGUGACAGAAUAACUUCUAUAGUUGGAAGUGACUUUCUACUGAGUGUCACAAUUGUGUGUUUUUGGUUAAUGGGGAGUCAAAAUAUAAUUUUACCCUUGAAGACUCGGAGUUUUCUUCUUUACUCUAUAAUUCACUUCUAAUGAGAGCUCACCUUUGUCUGUAUGGAGUUCGGUUAGCUUUACUUGUUGUAAGUACUUGACUCUAGCUUUUGGUAGAUGCCAACAAUUUAGUUGAUAUUAAUUGAAUCAAUUUCUAUUCCAACAAAAAAGAAAAGAAAAAGAACAUAACAACAGUUAAGAAAGACAUUUCCAUAAUACUGCGAGAGCGUAAGGAGAGACUUUACCCUUGUCUGGCGACGAGCCAUAUCGUUGUCGUCGGACAGACUUUGUCUACCCCAUGUGGGUCUGGCGUGAGAUUAGACUCUUCGAUCAUCAGCUCGUCUGGGUCGGAGAGAUCACGGUGGGGGUCUGUUUGGUGAGAAUGUUGGAGAUCAUAGUGGCUGGAGGGUUCUGGUUUGUUCCUUAUCGACUUGGCCUGCAACGUGGUGGAGUAAGGGUGAGCGCUUGGUGGUUUCUUUGAAGUGACAUGGUCGCACUCAUAGCACCGUCGAAGGAUUUCGGCUAGGUCUACAGAACUCGAUCUGGGUCUCUUGUGCCCAACCGAGAAUGGCGCAUUUAGUGGCUUGACCCUAAUUAGACAAGUCUAAUCUUUGGUUUGUCUGUUAGAUCCAAUUCAGGUUGGGUCUCUGGUAAGGGUAAAGCUUAUGGAGGGUGCAGCGAUGGUGGAACGCCGAUGACAGGGAAUCCCAAAUGGUGGGGUGCGACAUGGAGCAGGAGAGGAAGGAUUUGAGUUGGGCCUUGUUUGGUGUUAGUGCUUCCCCUUGUCUUUGGGCUGGUGAUUGGGUUUGGGCUCACUCAUUAUUGUUAUGUACUUUGUUAAUUUGUGUGUUUUGCAAAUAAAUUCCCACACUAGUUGUGUAGGAGUAGAGUUUGGUCCCGGUGCAGGCACUCUCUGUGUCUUGUCUGUUCUAAAUUGGUGGCGAGUUCCUUGCAUUGGCAAACGGUCGCAACCUUUUAAUAACAGUAAUGUGUCUGUCGUAGUUAGGCGAUGAGUUUUUUGCUUAAUCAAAUGGUUGCUGCCUCCUAGUGGCAGGGUGAAACUUAGUGUCAUCGGAUCUAUUUUCCGAUGGCAACAUAUAGUGGGAAAGCUGAGUUAUUUUUCAUGAUGCUUCUUUGGAAUAAAGUUAUAUUUUCGUUAAGUCACCACAAAUAUAAAGCGAAUAGAGUUGUCAGUCAUACACUCUUCGUUAUUCAGUGCAUUUUAAAAUACAUGUUUGUAGUUGAGGCUUCUGUUAUUUUCUUAGGAGAUCCUCUUUAUGUGUUUUGUAAUCUGGGGUAUAGGGCAGCCGAACCGGCCCUUAUUUCUACAAAAAAAAAAAAAAAAAAAGGAAGAAGACAUUUCCAUUAACUACUAUUCUCUUCGUCUCUACGUCUCUUUCGUUCUCUGGUGACUACGAAUUUGGAACAACCCUAGCCUAUAGAAUAACAUCGUCGUCGUGGUGCAUGCAACCACGUGUGGAGGCGAUCGAUCUGAAUUUUUAACUGAACUGAGAGCUGGUGGGAGAUCCAUGGCGAAGACUAUUGAACGUCGACACUCGACAGUCGACAACAUUUAGUUUCUAUCCCCGACUACACAUAACGUGUUCAAUGAUGGAUUCAUCUAAUCCAUGAAUAGUCAACUUCACAGUCUAGCUGGGCAAGGCAUCUGCCAUUAUCGUCAUGUACUCAUUCAUGUACAGUGAUGGCCUGCCCUCCGCCCUGGCCUGGGUAAGAGCUAGAAGCACAAAUGGGUCCUCCUCGUACUUAAUGAACCUUCCUUUGCUGUAUGACGCAUAUCUAUCAGAUGUGUGCUUCGGACAUACAUGCGUAUUUUCGUUUUCCAAUCCAGAUAUCAUGCAUGCAUACAUGCUACAAGUAAAUUUGUUUUCGGGUUAGAGGUUAACCAUGAUGAUUACUUUUGUUUACCUAUGAUAAGAUCUGAG
rnacentral:lncRNA from 1 species